CCUACGGGAGGCUGCAGUAGGGAAUAUUGCUCAAUGGGGGAAACCCUGAAGCAGCAACGCCGCGUGGAGGAUGAAGGUUUUAGGAUUGUAAACUCCUUUUGUUAGAGAAGAUUAUGACGGUAUCUAACGAAUAAGCACCGGCUAACUCCGUGCCAGCAGCCGCGGUAAUACGGAGGGUGCAAGCGUUACUCGGAAUCACUGGGCGUAAAGAGUGCGUAGGCGGGGUAAUAAGUCAGGUGUGAAAUCCUGUAGCUUAACUACAGAACUGCAUUUGAAACUGUUACUCUGGAGUGUGGGAGAGGUAGGUGGAAUGCUUGGUGUAGGGGUAAAAUGCGUAGAGAUCAAGAGGAAUACUCAUUGCGAAGGCGACCUGCUGGAACAUUACUGACGCUGAUGCACGAAAGCGUGGGGAGCAAACAGGAUUAGAUACCCGAGUAGUC
rnacentral:rRNA from 1 species